CUGCCUGAAGGGAUGGUCUGCCUCUGCUGAUUUAUGGUUCCUUAAUUCUAUCUAGUGGCUGGGACUGGUACUGAACUUAUGAAAUGCACUGAGCAGACAGAGCAGAGUCUCAGGUAUGGGUCUCCAGAAAGGAGGGCUCUCAGUGGUGUUAAACACAAACAAGCACAUUCCCAACAUCAGCUGGACUUCUCCAAGCCCCUCCCCUACCUCACUGCUACCAUAAUGGCAAAUGUAGACAUCAAUACUUAUGGAAGACACCAGAGACCAAAAUUAUCAAGUCAACUCUAAGCCACAGUGCCAGCUGCUGGAAAGUUAUAAAGAAAGCCUUGUAAAGAACUAUUCUGCCAGAAGAUGGGCCAUUGAUCCUGAAUCAUACAUGAA